rnacentral:tRNA from 1 species
GGAGAGGUGCGGCGAACGGUAAGCCGCCGCGGUGCUAACGCGGAGCCCCCGGAAGGGGGCUUGCAGGUUCGAGUCCUGUCCUCUCCUCCA